rnacentral:rRNA from 1 species
CACGUAGGGGCCGAGCGUUGUCCGGAGUUACUGGGCGUAAAGCGCGCGCAGGCGGUUUCGCGCAUCCGUGGUGAAAGCCCCGCGCUCAACGCGGGAGAGUCCAAGGAGAUGGCGAGACUGGAGGCAGGGCGAGGCCGGUGGAAUUCCGGGUGUAGUGGUGAAAUGCGUAGAGAUCCGGAGGAACACCAGUGGCGUAGGCGGCCGGCUGGACCUGUCCUGACGCUGAGGCACGAAAGCGUGGGGAGCAAACAGGG